GACGAACGCUGGCGGCGUGCUUAACACAUGCAAGUCGAACGGAAAGGCCCUGCUUUUGUGGGGUGCUCGAGUGGCGAACGGGUGAGUAACACGUGAGUAACCUGCCCUUGACUUUGGGAUAACUUCAGGAAACUGGGGCUAAUACCGGAUAGGAGCUCCUGCUGCAUGGUGGGGGUUGGAAAGUUUCGGCGGUUGGGGAUGGACUCGCGGCUUAUCAGCUUGUUGGUGGGGUAGUGGCUUACCAAGGCUUUGACGGGUAGCCGGCCUGAGAGGGUGACCGGCCACAUUGGGACUGAGAUACGGCCCCGACUCCUACGGGAGGCCGCAGUGGGGAAUAUUGCACAAUGGGCGGAAGCCUGAUGCAGCAACGCCGCGUGCGGGAUGACGGCCUUCGGGUUGUAAACCGCUUUCGCCUGUGACGAAGCGUGAGUGACGGUAAUGGGUAAAGAAGCACCGGCUAACUACGUG
rnacentral:rRNA from 1 species